rnacentral:rRNA from 1 species
GGUUAAGCGACUAAGCGUACACGGUGGAUGCCCUGGCAGUCAGAGGCGAUGAAGGACGUGCUAAUCUGCGAUAAGCGUCGGUAAGGUGAUAUGAACCGUUAUAACCGGCGAUUUCCGAAUGGGGAAACCCAGUGUGAUUCGUCACACUAUCAUUAACUGAAUCCAUAGGUUAAUGAGGCGAACCGGGGGAACUGAAACAUCUAAGUACCCCGAGGAAAAGAAAUCAACCGAGAUUCCCCCAGUAGCGGCGAGCGAACGGGGAGGAGCCCAGAGCCUGAAUCAGUGUGUGUGUUAGUGGAAGCGUCUGGAAAGGCGCGCGAUACAGGGUGACAGCCCCGUACACAAAAAUGCACAUAUUGUGAGCUCGAUGAGUAGGGCGGGACACGUGGUAUCCUGUCUGAAUAUGGGGGGACCAUCCUCCAAGGCUAAAUACUCCUGACUGACCGAUAGUGAACCAGUACCGUGAGGGAAAGGCGAAAAGAACCCCGGCGAGGGGAGUGAAAAAGAACCUGAAACCGUGUACGUACAAGCAGUGGGAGCACGCUUAGGCGUGUGACUGCGUACCUUUUGUAUAAUGGGUCAGCGACUUAUAUUCUGUAGCAAGGUUAACCGAAUAGGGGAGCCGAAGGGAAACCGAGUCUUAACUGGGCGUUAAGUUGCAGGGUAUAGACCCGAAACCCGGUGAUCUAGCCAUGGGCAGGUUGAAGGUUGGGUAACACUAACUGGAGGACCGAACCGACUAAUGUUGAAAAAUUAGCGGAUGACUUGUGGCUGGGGGUGAAAGGCCAAUCAAACCGGGAGAUAGCUGGUUCUCCCCGAAAGCUAUUUAGGUAGCGCCUCGUGAAUUCAUCUCCGGGGGUAGAGCACUGUUUCGGCAAGGGGGUCAUCCCGACUUACCAACCCGAUGCAAACUGCGAAUACCGGAGAAUGUUAUCACGGGAGACACACGGCGGGUGCUAACGUCCGUCGUGAAGAGGGAAACAACCCAGACCGCCAGCUAAGGUCCCAAAGUCAUGGUUAAGUGGGAAACGAUGUGGGAAGGCCCAGACAGCCAGGAUGUUGGCUUAGAAGCAGCCAUCAUUUAAAGAAAGCGUAAUAGCUCACUGGUCGAGUCGGCCUGCGCGGAAGAUGUAACGGGGCUAAACCAUGCACCGAAGCUGCGGCAGCGACGCUUAUGCGUUGUUGGGUAGGGGAGCGUUCUGUAAGCCUGUGAAGGUGUGCUGUGAGGCAUGCUGGAGGUAUCAGAAGUGCGAAUGCUGACAUAAGUAACGAUAAAGCGGGUGAAAAGCCCGCUCGCCGGAAGACCAAGGGUUCCUGUCCAACGUUAAUCGGGGCAGGGUGAGUCGACCCCUAAGGCGAGGCCGAAAGGCGUAGUCGAUGGGAAACAGGUUAAUAUUCCUGUACUUGGUGUUACUGCGAAGGGGGGACGGAGAAGGCUAUGUUGGCCGGGCGACGGUUGUCCCGGUUUAAGCGUGUAGGCUGGUUUUCCAGGCAAAUCCGGAAAAUCAAGGCUGAGGCGUGAUGACGAGGCACUACGGUGCUGAAGCAACAAAUGCCCUGCUUCCAGGAAAAGCCUCUAAGCAUCAGGUAACAUCAAAUCGUACCCCAAACCGACACAGGUGGUCAGGUAGAGAAUACCAAGGCGCUUGAGAGAACUCGGGUGAAGGAACUAGGCAAAAUGGUGCCGUAACUUCGGGAGAAGGCACGCUGAUAUGUAGGUGAAGUCCCUCGCGGAUGGAGCUGAAAUCAGUCGAAGAUACCAGCUGGCUGCAACUGUUUAUUAAAAACACAGCACUGUGCAAACACGAAAGUGGACGUAUACGGUGUGACGCCUGCCCGGUGCCGGAAGGUUAAUUGAUGGGGUUAGCGCAAGCGAAGCUCUUGAUCGAAGCCCCGGUAAACGGCGGCCGUAACUAUAACGGUCCUAAGGUAGCGAAAUUCCUUGUCGGGUAAGUUCCGACCUGCACGAAUGGCGUAAUGAUGGCCAGGCUGUCUCCACCCGAGACUCAGUGAAAUUGAACUCGCUGUGAAGAUGCAGUGUACCCGCGGCAAGACGGAAAGACCCCGUGAACCUUUACUAUAGCUUGACACUGAACAUUGAGCCUUGAUGUGUAGGAUAGGUGGGAGGCUUUGAAGUGUGGACGCCAGUCUGCAUGGAGCCGACCUUGAAAUACCACCCUUUAAUGUUUGAUGUUCUAACGUUGACCCGUAAUCCGGGUUGCGGACAGUGUCUGGUGGGUAGUUUGACUGGGGCGGUCUCCUCCUAAAGAGUAACGGAGGAGCACGAAGGUUGGCUAAUCCUGGUCGGACAUCAGGAGGUUAGUGCAAUGGCAUAAGCCAGCUUGACUGCGAGCGUGACGGCGCGAGCAGGUGCGAAAGCAGGUCAUAGUGAUCCGGUGGUUCUGAAUGGAAGGGCCAUCGCUCAACGGAUAAAAGGUACUCCGGGGAUAACAGGCUGAUACCGCCCAAGAGUUCAUAUCGACGGCGGUGUUUGGCACCUCGAUGUCGGCUCAUCACAUCCUGGGGCUGAAGUAGGUCCCAAGGGUAUGGCUGUUCGCCAUUUAAAGUGGUACGCGAGCUGGGUUUAGAACGUCGUGAGACAGUUCGGUCCCUAUCUGCCGUGGGCGCUGGAGAACUGAGGGGGGCUGCUCCUAGUACGAGAGGACCGGAGUGGACGCAUCACUGGUGUUCGGGUUGUCAUGCCAAUGGCACUGCCCGGUAGCUAAAUGCGGAAGAGAUAAGUGCUGAAAGCAUCUAAGCACGAAACUUGCCCCGAGAUGAGUUCUCCCUGACUCCUUGAGAGUCCUGAAGGAACGUUGAAGACGACGACGUUGAUAGGCCGGGUGUGUAAGCGCAGCGAUGCGUUGAGCUAACCGGUACUAAUGAACCGUGAGGCUUAACCUU